CCCUAUGGGGUCGCUGCGGAAGGGCCGCAGGCCUCGGGGCAUCUGCGCGGCCAGGGUGGUGAGGACGUGUUCGGGGUCCAAGGCCUCGCGCAGGGUCAGGGUGAACCAUUCGGCGCUGCUCUCCACGCCCACGGGCAGGGCGCGCCCGAAGGACACGCGCGGCAUGGGGUGGAAGCCCGCGCUGAAGGACAGCGGAAACUUGGUACGGCGCAGGGCGCGCUCCAGGAUGCUCUGCACUUCGGGCUGGCUUAAGUAGGCGGCCUCGGCCAGCUUCUCGUACCAGAUGCGGUACUGGGCCUGGCGGUCGGAGAGGCCCAGGUCGGCGGGCUUGGCCGGGCUGGCGGGAAUUUCCUGGGAAUUGGCGGGGGGGC
rnacentral:rRNA from 1 species